rnacentral:misc_RNA from 1 species
GCGCCUUACCUUAGGGUUUCCUCUGGGGUAAGUGAUUGCUUCUACACUGUGAAAAUUUGGCUGAGAGACUCAGACUGGUCAUGGGUAGACCUAUCUGGGGUUUGAUCGAUGCCACUCCUGGUUUCAGGAGUACCCUUCAUAAUAAACCUAGAAAUUCAGUAUUAUAAAGUUUAAUAAAAAACAACUUUUAACAAUGGAUCUCUUGGUUCUCGCAUCGAUGAAGAACGUAGCAAAGUGCGAUAACUAGUGUGAAUUGCAUAUUCAGUGAAUCAUCGAGUCUUUGAACGCAGCUUGCACUCUAUGGUUUUUCUAUAGAGUACGCCUGCUUCAGUAUCAUCACAAACCCACACAUAACAUUUGUUUAUGUGGUGAUGGGUCGCAUCGCUGUUUUAUUACAGUGAGCACCUAAAAUGUGUGUGAUUUUCUGUCUGGCUUGCUAGGCAGGAAUAUUACGCUGGUCUCAGGAUCUUUUUUUUUGGUUCGCCCAGGAAGUAAAGUACAAGAGUAUAAUCCAGUAACUUUCAAACUAUGAUCUGAAGUCAGGUGGGAUUACCCGCUGAACUUAAGCAUAUCAAA